UCCUACGGGAGGCAGCAGGGGGGAAUAUUGCGCAAUGGACGAAAGUCUGACGCAGCGACGCCGCGUGGAGGAUGAAGGUUUUCGGAUCGUAAACUCCUGUCAAGAGGGAAGAAACCUAUCAAAAUUAAUACUUUUGGUAAUUGACGGUACCUCUAGAGGAAGCACCGGCUAAUUCAGUGCCAGCAGCCGCGGUAAU
rnacentral:rRNA from 1 species